AGUCUUAUAUUCAAAUAUGAUAUAAAAUUGCAAAUUUUAAGGUAUAAUUUAUUAUUAAGACUU
rnacentral:tRNA from 1 species